rnacentral:rRNA from 1 species
AUUGAACGCUGGCGGCAUGCCUUACACAUGCAAGUCGAACGGUAACAGGUCUUCGGAUGCUGACGAGUGGCGAACGGGUGAGUAAUACAUCGGAACGUGCCUAGUAGUGGGGGAUAACUACUCGAAAGAGUGGCUAAUACCGCAUGAGAUCUACGGAUGAAAGCAGGGGAUCGCAAGACCUUGUGCUACUAGAGCGGCCGAUGGCAGAUUAGGUAGUUGGUGGGGUAAAAGCUUACCAAGCCGACGAUCUGUAGCUGGUCUGAGAGGACGAUCAGCCACACUGGGACUGAGACACGGCCCAGACUCCUACGGGAGGCAGCAGUGGUGAAUUUUGGACAAUGGGCGCAAGCCUGAUCCAGCAAGGCCGCGUGCAGGAUGAAGGCCUUCGGGUUGUAAACUGCUUUUGUACGGAACGAAAAGCCCCGGGUUAAUACCCUGGGGUCAUGACGGUACCGUAAGAAUAAGCACCGGCUAACUACGUGCCAGCCGCCGCAGUAA